rnacentral:rRNA from 1 species
AUUGAACGCUGGCGGCAUGCCUUACACAUGCAAGUCGAACGGCAGCACGGGAGCAAUCCUGGUGGCGAGUGGCGAACGGGUGAGUAAAGUAUCGGAACGUGCCCAGUCGUGGGGGAUAACGUAGCGAAAGUUACGCUAAUACCGCAUACGAUCUAUGGAUGAAAGCGGGGGAUCGCAAGACAUCGCGCGAUUGGAGCGGCCGAUAUCAGAUUAGGUAGUUGGUGGGGUAAAGGCUCACCAAGCCGACGAUCUGUAGCUGGUCUGAGAGGACGACCAGCCACACUGGGACUGAGACACGGCCCAGACUCCUACGGGAGGCAGCAGUGGGGAAUUUUGGACAAUGGGCGAAAGCCUGAUCCAGCCAUGCCGCGUGCAGGAUGAAGGCCUUCGGGUUGUAACUGCUUUUGUACGGAACGAAAAGGUUUGGGCUAAUAAGCUGAGCUCAUGACGGUACCGUAAGAAUAAGCACCGGCUAACUACGUGCCAGCCGCCGCAGUAA